GGUAGAUCGGAAGAUGUAUUAUCUAGAAAAUGUACUAAACCUUAUCUAUGGAAUGCACCUUUUGGCUGAGUAACGGAUGUCAGGGUGUACCUAAUAAAUCUCUGUAUGCUAUCUCUAAAAGUGUGCAGGGAGAUGUUGGAUAUAUAAACCCUGUAAAUUCUGUGGCAAAUUGGGGCUCUGACUUUGGACAAUAGUCCUCAGGUCCCCAGGGCCCUCAAUAAAGCACCGCAUAAAACAA